UGUUUUUGCUGUGUCACCCGCAGCCGAGCUGUGCUUCGCAGUCCAGAUUAUGAUGGAAUUUACACUGUAUACGAGGCAAUAAGAGAGCGUAGAACAUUCAUCUCGUCCAUGGCAUCUUUGUGGACAAAAAUCUCAGCCACCCUGCCUCCUAAUGAAGAACAGUUUCCGCUGCAGUUUAGUGAUAAAGUGGUGUUAAGCGUGGUGGAGAUGCUGGAACGGGCCCGGCAGCAGCUGUACGUCGACACGACGAGCGCCAGCCGAAUUCUCACUGCUCAGAUCAUUUUGGACUAUUCAUGGGAGAGACUUAACAUGGGAACAUGGCGCCAUGUGGACAAAGAGUGGAGGCGGGUUUACUCGUAUGGCUGCCUGUUCAAAGCAGCCGCGAUCUGCCGAGGAAGUCCAUCAGAGGAGGAGAUCUUGCAGGCCAUCAGGACAUGUGACAUGGGUUUGCUGAUGGGCGCGGCCAUCAUGGAAAAUAUACUUCAGGUCAUUGUUCGAAUUCUGCAAAGGGAAAUAAGGACAUUGGCUAAAGGAGGAGAUAAUCAUGAAAACAUCGAGGCAAAGAAAAGGAAGAUUGCAAGCCCACAUGUUGGUCUAAUCAAAGACGAGUUGUCAGUUCCCAGAAUUAAGUGUCCUUCACUGGAAAGCUUCAAUGCAAACUACCUCCUUCCCCUCAAACCAGUGAUUUUAGAGGGGAUAAUUGACCACUGGCCUGCCCUCAACAACCAUCCCUGGAGCAUCGAGUACCUGAGGUCCGUGGCCGGCUGCCGGACAGUUCCCGUCGAGGUGGGCUCCCGUUAUACAGACGAGGACUGGUCACAAACACUGCUUACCGUCAAUGAGUUCAUCGACAAAUACAUUUUGAAUAAAGUUCAAGAGUCUGAGAGUGAUCACAAAGCUGUGGGUUAUCUCGCUCAACAUCAGCUUUUUGAUCAGAUCCCAGAAUUAAAGGAAGACAUUCGCAUCCCGGAUUAUUGCUGUCUUGGUGAAGGAGAUGAAGAUGACAUCACUGUAAAUGCGUGGUUUGGACCCAAGGGUACGGUAUCUCCUCUUCACCAAGAUCCCCAGCAGAACUUCCUGGCUCAGGUAGUGGGAAACAAAUACAUACGGCUGUAUUCCCCAGAGGACACAGAGAAGCUUUAUCCUCACGAAUCCCAGCUUCUUCACAACACCAGUCAGGUGGAGGUGGAGAGUCCAGAUGCUGAACGCUUCCCUGAGUUUGUGAAGGCACCGUACCUCGAAUGUGUCUUGCAGCCUGGAGACGUGCUAUUCAUCCCUGUCAAAUACUGGCACUAUGUCCGAUCUUUAGAAAUCAGCUUCUCCGUCAGCUUCUGGUGGUCAUGACUUUAUUUCAUAAUAAAACACGUUUACUCUCAAUUUCACUAAGAGUUUUUACCCAAUGGGAGGCUAAUUUCCUAUAAUGCUACAUCAGACAAACCUUUGAACACUGAACACACACUGCUGAAUGACUAGUCAUUUUAGUUGCUGAUGACUGAGACAACAUUUACUGUGUGCAAAGCUAAAUGCUGCACAAACUAACCAAAAAUCCUACAGUUAUUAGUCAGCUGAAUUGAUAUUAUUCUCUUUGGAAAUUGGCUUAUUUAAUUGUCUACUCCACCUCAUUCAUCCAAAUAUCCUACAACGUGUGAUUUCCAUAAUUCUAGGAAAAUGAGACAAGUCCUCAAAUUUAAUAACCGAGCGAGCUACAGGUACAGAACAGUUGUAACUCUGAAUAAACCGACAGUCGGAGGCAAUCAAGCAGGUCACAGAAGGAAAUGAUUGAAAUAAAUGAACCAAUCUCUUGGGCAUACACAGACUCCGAAAUUAAAACAGCCUCACUGGAUAAAAGCCCUAAUAGUGAAAACUCAUUCUCUCGCAUCUAAAAACACAAUAACUGACAACACAGAGCGCAUGCUGCGCUUUUCAAGGCCCCAGUCGUGUAUGCUGCAAGUCCAUUUCAAUCAGAUCCACCUAUUAGGACUGUGAGGAAGUGGCAAAAUGAAGCAGAUCAGCCCCCGUGUGCACAUUUGUUCAAGUUAUCAACCAAAGGUGCGGCAGGCUGAAGUGGUGCUUCGGGAAAUCAAGCUGGUGUUCGUCGGGUGGAGCUGAAGGGCUGUGGGGACGCUCAAUUAAAACAAACGCUCAAUAAACACAAACAAGAAUCAUAUUUUAUUUGUCGAUAUUGUCUCUAACUCGACUGAACAUAUGCUGAAUUCUGUGCUUGAGACUUUUAGAACUACUCAGGCAUUAAACAUACCAGUAUUGAGGUAAUAGACUUAUCCAGACUGAGCUACACUCCUUACAAGGUUACUCCACUAAACUAAUAACACAGAUCAUGCUGGGAUGUAAUUUUGGGGCCAAAUGCUGUAAACUUUCAUUAACCCUUCUGUUCUUUGUUAUAUCAGUAAGUGACACAAUUGACUUAAGAUUUCACUAACCUGCUUUCUCUCAUUAUAAUUUAAUCAAUACUCAAUUACCUAUAAAGUAAUGUGAGACCUGUGGGCUUCUGACCUUUUCACUGAAACUGAGCCGUGCAUGCUCCUUUUUGAUUAAUAGCGUUAUUGAUUUUUAAACAAAUCUGACAAAUUGGGGUUAAAAUUAAGUGAUUCGGCUGGGGAGACUGGCUACAAGCUGGAGGUCCAUGUUGUGGUCAAUUAAAGAUUAAUUUAAAAGACCACAAUUCACAAAAAUCACAGGAGUUGUAGCAAAGCAAAUUGCAAGGUAUGUGUUUCUAGAGUGCUAAGAAGGUUAUGUAAGUUUGUCAAAGUCAACCUCGAUAAACAUCUCAGUUUUCAGUGUUGUUGAAUACUAAAUCAUCUGAGUUUUAACGCACAAUAUUACUUAGUAAUAAGCAUGACAAAUGUACUAAUGGUCACUAUCAUCACAUUUAUUUUAUAAAAUCACAAUUUAAUGCAUUAAUUUAAAAUAAUGCACAAUAUACAUAAUCAUUUAUUUAAUGUCUUUACAAAUGUUUACAUAGGUUAAAUAUGUCUUUUUAAUAAUACCAGUAAAUAUAGAUAUGGUCAAGGAUAAAUCAUAUUUACUUAAUGUGUACAUUUAUAUAUAUUUCCACAUGAAGCAGUUAAUGAAUAAAACAGAGAGCUAACAUCCUAGACUAAAGACCUUGUGAAUGGAACCCCUAAACAUAAGAUCUCCUAUCUGGUGUUAAGAUUUUUUUUAUAUACUAGUCUAUUCACAAAAAAAAUUGCAUAACUCAUUUUAUAUAGGAAAUACUGUCUUGUUGCAAUGAUUGGACUAUUCAAACUUAAGCAUCCCACCAGAAUAUAUUGUGAUGGUCAAGUUUCUGUGUUUGAAUAACUCUUUAAUAUUGAUUAUGCAUCCAUUUUAUAUAUAAUUUAAAUAAAAGCGAUUUUUGGUUAAAAACAAUUACAUUAAGAUUAAUGAUUUUUGUGAUGUGGAACAAUACAUUCAGAUACUUCUAUGGUUUUCUGGUCUUAAGGUUCAUCAUUAUGAGUUACCCAUGCUCACUUCAAAUUAAACAUAUUUGCUAAAAACACACUGAGCACCAUAGCUACAGUUCUUACAUCGAUGUAAAGGACUUUUCUGUCAAGUCAAAGUUCAAGCAUAAAGGAGGGGAAACACAUUUUGACAUCUUCUCAGAUCAACACAGACUGAUAUAACACACAGUCUGACUUUGGACAUCUGCUAAAUUUACCUGUUAGGUAUAUUUAAUUUGUACCAACUAAAGGUAUACAUUUAAUAUUUAUAUUUGAAUUUCACUCUAUUUACAUAUAUUUAAAAAUACUCAACAUUUAAAAUGUAUAGAUAUUUUAAUAAAUAAUAUUAUUUUUGACAUUUAUAUUUGAUGCAUAUUAAAUAUUUAUCCUGAUAUUAUUAAUUCAAACCCUAUUCAUGACAGGUUUCAUGCUAAAAUGCAUAGAUGAGAAUUUGUGUGCGUAAUUUUCAGCAAUGGGAGCGCCUUGUGCAAGCAGCAGUCACAGGAUUCCGACGACCCAAAUGAUUCUGACCACAGAAUCCUGCUUUUCAAAAUUCCUGUGAAUCCAUGGAGUACUCCUGUAUCCUCUCAACUACGAAGAAGCAGAGAGUUCCAGCAAAGCCGAGGAUGACCAGAAGCAGGAGCUGCCACGUUAGCAGAAGGUAGCCGCUGUAGAAGAACGCCACUGCUGCACUCACAGACUAACAGGAAACAUAAAUUUUAUUGUUGGUUAUGAGAAGAAAGAACUGCAAGCUUUGCAACAUCUCAUCUGUAGCCAUGUUUGUCCAACUGUGGAACAUGUUACACGGAUGGUAUUUGAGCUACCUCUAGUGGUACUCAGAAGAAAUCUUGGCAUUAAUUACAAAGUAAAUAUGUGCAAAUUAGCUGUGACAAAGUGAACUACAGUGCACUAGGAACAGUUUGCUAGGCAUGAUGUAUGUUUUUUUUGUUGUUUUUUUUCUACUUUGCUCUGAAGUUAGAACAUGGAUCUGACAAAGACAUCAAACCCAACUUAACCAUGUUGGAGUUCCAUGUUCCAAAAUGGAUGUAUCGGUUGAUUGAUUUACUUUUUAUUUACAGUGGUUAUCACUAACUUUCAUGUGAAAGGCAGCCAUGUUGAAUUUUAGGGUCAGGGUUGGUGAGAGUCCAUCACUUUUCCUCGACGCCAUUUUGAAUUACAUGACAGUUGAGAAUUUCCAUGGAUAUGUUAUUUUCAGAUUUACUACAGUUUUAAAAUGUCUUGACAAAAUUGUGGUAAAGUUUGGGAACCACUGGACUAGAAAGACAAGUCUGUUUGAAUGACGUAGCAUCUUCUCAUUUGUCAGAUUAAAUGUAACUUUUGAAAAUAAUAUUUAAGAACGUAUUAAAUAUACUUUUAACUAA